rnacentral:rRNA from 1 species
UGGGGAAUAUUGGACAAUGGGCGAAAGCCUGAUCCAGCAAUGCCGCGUGUGUGAAGAAGGCCUUCGGGUUGUAAAGCACUUUUGUCCGGAAAGAAAUCCUUGGCUCUAAUACAGUCGGGGGAUGACGGUACCGGAAGAAUAAGCACCGGCUAACUACGUGCCAGCAGCCGCGGUAAUACGUAGGGUGCAAGCGUUAAUCGGAAUUACUGGGCGUAAAGCGUGCGCAGGCGGUUUGCUAAGACCGAUGUGAAAUCCCCGGGCUCAACCUGGGAACUGCAUUGGUGACUGGCAGGCUAGAGUAUGGCAGAGGGGGGUAGAAUUCCACGUGUAGCAGUGAAAUGCGUAGAGAUGUGGAGGAAUACCGAUGGCGAAGGCAGCCCCCUGGGCCAAUACUGACGCUCAUGCACGAAAGCGUGGGGAGCAAACAGGAUUAGAUACCCUGGUAGUCCACGCCCUAAACGAUGUCAACUAGUUGUUGGGGAUUCAUUUCCUUAGUAACGUAGCUAACGCGUGAAGUUGACCGCCUGGGGAGUACGGUCGCAAGAUUAAAACUUCAAAUGAAUUGACGGGGUCAUAGCUGUUUCCU